GAUGAACGCUGGCGGCGUGCCUAAUACAUGCAAGUCGAGCGAACAGACGAGGAGCUUGCUCCUCUGACGUUAGCGGCGGACGGGUGAGUAACACGUGGAUAACCUACCUAUAAGACUGGGAUAACUUCGGGAAACCGGAGCUAAUACCGGAUAAUAUAUUGAACCGCAUGGUUCAAUAGUGAAAGACGGUUUUGCUGUCACUUAUAGAUGGAUCCGCGCCGCAUUAGCUAGUUGGUAAGGUAACGGCUUACCAAGGCAACGAUGCGUAGCCGACCUGAGAGGCUGAACAGCCACACUGGAACUGAGACACGGUCCAGACUCCUACGGGAGGCAGCAGUAGGGAAUCUUCCGCAAUGGGCGAAAGCCUGACGGAGCAACGCCGCGUGAGUGAUGAAGGUCUUCGGAUCGUAAAACUCUGUUAUUAGGGAAGAACAAGUGUGUAAGUAACUAUGCACGUCUUGACGGUACCUAAUCAGAAAGCCACGGCUAACUACGUG
rnacentral:rRNA from 1 species